CCUACGGGUGGCAGCAGUGAGGAAUAUUGGUCAAUGGUCGGGAGACUGAACCAGCCAAGCCGCGUGAGGGAUGAAGGUACAGAGUAUCGUACACCUCUUUUGUCAGGGAACAAAGGCGGGGACGUGUCCCCGGAUGAGUGUACCUGAAGAAAAAGCAUCGGCUAACUCCGUGCCAGCAGCCGCGGUAAUACGGAGGAUGCGAGCGUUAUCCGGAUUUGUUGGGUGAAAGGGGUGCGCAGGCGGUCUGUUAAGUCAGCGGUCAAAGCCCGGGGCUCAACCCCGGCCCGCCGUUGAAACUGGCAGUCUCGAGUUGGAGAGAAGUAUGCGGAAUGCGCGGUGUAGCGGUGAAAUGCAUAGAUAUCGCGCAGAACUCCGAUUGCGAAGGCAGCAUACCGGCGCGCAACUGACGCUCAUGCACGAAAGCGUGGGUAUCGAACAGGAUUAGAUACCCCUGUAGUC
rnacentral:rRNA from 1 species